rnacentral:rRNA from 1 species
CCUGGCUCAGAUUGAACGCUGGCGGCAUGCCUAACACAUGCAAGUCGAACGGCAGCAUGAUAUAGAGUAAUCUGUAUUGAUGGCGAGUGGCGGACGGGUGAGUAACGCGUAGGAAUAUAUCUUAAAGAGGGGGAUAACUUGGGGAAACUCAAGCUAAUACCGCAUGAGCUCUGAGGAGGAAAGCUGGGGACCUUCGGGCCUGGCGCUUUAAGAUUAGCCU